rnacentral:rRNA from 1 species
AUGCCAAGGAGUGCGGCUGGACCUGCUCGAGGUGGUGACCGCGCCACCACAAUCCUAGUGGACAAAAAUUCCGCUAUUAAGAUGUGCAAUAAUCCGGUUUUCCAUGACCGGAGCAAACACAUCGAGCUUCGUUUCCAUUUCAUCCGCGAGUGCAUCGACGAUUGGAAGAUCUACGUCGACCACAUCAGCACAGGCGAUAAGUUCAUGGACAUCCUCACCAAGCCGCUCGUACGGACCCGUUUCUUGAAGCUGCGACCACACAUCGGGAUGAUCAAUCUCAAGUAA